rnacentral:rRNA from 1 species
UACGGAGGGUGCAAGCGUUGUUCGGAAUUACUGGGCGUAAAGGGCGCGUAGGCGGCCUUCUAAGUCGAACGUGAAAUCCCCGGGCUCAACCCGGGAACUGCGUCCGAUACUGGAAGGCUUGAGGUUGGGAGAGGGAUGCGGAAUUCCAGGUGUAGCGGUGAAAUGCGUAGAUAUCUGGAGGAACACCGGUGGCGAAGGCGGCUCUCUGGACGGUGACUGACGCUGAGACGCGAAAGCGUGGGGAGCAAACAGG